AGGGUUCUCAAGAAACUGUCAGUCCUUCCGUUGGGUGAAGAGAUGUUCUUCUGGAAGUUAACAACCAUGCUGCUGUCGCCUUCAUUGGACUGGGAUUUGAAGUUACCUUUCUUUCCUGAUUCCAUGUGUGUGUGACGUUUAUGCAUUUUGCAUGUGUUUCCAAAUCAUGGUUCUUGCCUGAGUGUCCCACAGUAGUUCCACAAGGCAUGUGAUGACCUGCUAUGGCUGUGCUAUUCUUGUCACUGAAACUGAUGCAUCUUAGUUCAUAAGUCUGCGACUUCAUAAGGCACUGUGCAAACACAAGAGAAGAUAUUUUUUAUCUCCUGAGUACACACUUGCAUCCAUUACCUCCCACCUGAACUGCAAGCAAGAUACAUAAAACAGGAAGCCAGCAGCCCUUAGAAAAUCCCAUGUUCCUACAAAAAACACUAGUAUGUGUCAGCAGCACAGACUGCCACAAGCAUCUCAAUCUCUCCUGCU